UUUUUUUCAUAUUCAUAUUUAUAUCCUCUACAACCAUUGUUGGGACGGACUUUCGUGGAAAAGAAAAAAGACCUUUAUCGGAUUGGAAGCGAUGACUUAAGCCUCUUUCUUCUUCUUUUCUUAUAGGGCGUUUAAAGAGCGUGACUCUUUAGUUUAAUUAAGUUCAAAUUAGUUAAAUUAAAAGGCCCCAUUUGAUUCAAUUCAUGAAUUAGCCCACUAUGAGUCUACUACAUUUUAUUUAUAUAAUAAUUAUAUAUAAUUAGAUAAUAAUAAUAAUUAAGUAUAUCAUUCGUGUCUCUG
rnacentral:lncRNA from 1 species